AUUGAACGCUGGCGGCAUGCCUUACACAUGCAAGUCGAACGGUAACAGGUCUUUCGGGAUGCUGACGAGUGGCGAACGGGUGAGUAAUACAUCGGAACGUGCCUAGUAUUGGGGGAUAACUACUCGAAAGAGUGGCUAAUACCGCAUGAGAUCUUUGGAUGAAAGCAGGGGACCUUUGGUCCUUGUGCUACUAGAUCGGCCGAUGGCAGAUUAGGUAGUUGGUUGGAUAAAAGCUUACCAAGCCUACGAUCUGUAGCUGGUCUGAGAGGACGAUCAGCCACACUGGGACUGAGACACGGCCCAGACUCCUACGGGAGGCAGCAGUGGGGAAUUUUGGACAAUGGGCGCAAGCCUGAUCCAGCAAUGCCGCGUGCAGGAUGAAGGCCUUCGGGUUGUAAACUGCUUUUGUACGGAACGAAAAGUCUUGGGUUAAUACCCUGGGAUCAUGACGGUACCGUAAGAAUAAGCACCGGCUAACUACGUG
rnacentral:rRNA from 1 species